AGUUACCAGCACGUUAUGGUGGGCACUCUAAGGAGACUGCCGGUGACAAACCGGAGGAAGUGGGGAUGACGUCAAGUCAUCAUGGCCCUUACGGCCUGGGCUACACACGUGCUACAAUGGUCGGGUACAAAGGGUUGCCAAGCCGCGAGGUGGAGCUAAUCCCAUAAAACCGAUCGUAGUCCGGAUCGCAGUCUGCAACUCGACUGCGUGAAGUCGGAAUCGCUAGUAAUCGUGAAUCAGAAUGUCACGGUGAAUACGUUCCCGGGCCUU
rnacentral:rRNA from 1 species